rnacentral:misc_RNA from 1 species
AAGUCGUAACAAGGUUUCCGUAGGUGAACCUGCGGAAGGAUCAUUAACAAAUCAGUUAUUGUGUGUGUGUGUGUGUGCGAUAGCACAUCACAUCACAUCAAUAUAUCAACCCGAACCCGCGCAGCAAUGCCGGGCAAGGUGUGUGCUUUUGGCUUGAGGGCCUUCGCUGGUCCUAAAGCUGAAGGCACGCGGUGAAGACUAUGCGUGUCGCAAGAUGCGCCUAGUCCGAUCCACAUAGACGCUUGUAUAUGUUUGACAGAGUUAGUUGACACUUUAAAAAUGACAACUUUUAACAAUGGAUCUCUUGGCUCUU